rnacentral:rRNA from 1 species
UACGUAGGGCGCAAGCGUUAUCCGGAAUUAUUGGGCGUAAAGAGCUCGUAGGCGGUUUGUCGCGUCGGACGUGAAAACACGGGGCUUAACUCUGUGCUUGCUUUCGAUACGGGCAGACUAGAGGGAUGCAGGGGAGAACGGAAUUCCAGGUGUAGCGGUGAAAUGCGUAGAUAUCUGGAGGAACACCGGUGGCGAAGGCGGCAUCCUGGACCAAUACUGACGCUGAGGAGCGAAAGCCAGGGGAGCAAACGGG